rnacentral:rRNA from 1 species
GAUGAACGCUGGCGGCGUGCCUAAUACAUGCAAGUCGAGCGAACGGACGAGAAGCUUGCUUCUCUGAUGUUAGCGGCGGACGGGUGAGUAACACGUGGAUAACCUACCUAUAAGACUGGGAUAACUUCGGGAAACCGUAGCUAAUACCGGAUAAUAUUUUGAACCGCAUGGUUCAAAAGUGAAAGACGGUCUUGCUGUCACUUAUAGAUGGAUCCGCGCUGCAUUAGCUAGUUGGUAAGGUAACGGCUUACCAAGGCAACGAUGCAUAGCCGACCUGAGAGGGUGAUCGGCCACACUGGAACUGAGACACGGUCCAGACUCCUACGGGAGGCAGCAGUAGGGAAUCUUCCGCAAUGGGCGAAAGCCUGACGGAGCAACGCCGCGUGGGUGAUGAAGGUCUUCGGAUCGUAAAACUCUGUUAUUAGGGAAGAACAUAUGUGUAAGUAACUGUGCACAUCUUGACGGUACCUAAUCAGAAAGCCACGGCUAAUUACGUG